GCAAAUCGCAGAACUGUAUGAAUGAAAACGCAAAAAUAUGAAAUCUCUGAAUUGAAAAAGAAUCUCCAUUCAAAAUGUAGUUCUUCAAUUCGAUGCAUGCGCGCGAAAAUGACAGUUGAAUAAAUUGGGCCUCCGAGUUUUUUGACGCAGGCGGAUGCUUCUUUGAGGAAGAAUUUGACUUUUCAAGUAUGUUUUCUUUUGCAAUGUGUGUUUUUAUGUGUGAUUUUCCCCUUUUUAGGGUUUCUACUUGAUGGGUGUUGUACCUUUAAUUCAAAUUUGGGAACUGUUGAUUUAUGCUUUUGUUGUGUUUUUAUUGGAAGUACUGAUUUGCUACUUUUGCAUUUGUUCUCG
rnacentral:lncRNA from 1 species